AGUGAACGCUGGCGGUAGGCCUAACACAUGCAAGUCGAACGGCAGCACAGUAAGAGCUUGCUCUUACGGGUGGCGAGUGGCGGACGGGUGAGGAAUACAUCGGAAUCUACUUUUUCGUGGGGGAUAACGUAGGGAAACUUACGCUAAUACCGCAUACGGCCUACGGGUGAAAGCAGGGGAUCUUCGGACCUUGCGCGAUUGAAUAAGCCGAUGUCGGAUUAGCUAGUUGGCGGGGUAAAGGCCCACCAAGGCGACGAUCCGUAGCUGGUCUGAGAGGAUGAUCAGCCACACUGGAACUGAGACACGGUCCAGACUCCUACGGGAGGCAGCAGUGGGGAAUAUUGGACAAUGGGCGCAAGCCUGAUCCAGCCAUACCGCGUGGGUGAAGAAGGCCUUCGGGUUGUAAAGCCCUUUUGUUGGGAAAGAAAAGCAGCAGGUUAAUACCCCGCUGUUCUGACGGUACCCAAAGAAUAAGCACCGGCUAACUUCGUG
rnacentral:rRNA from 1 species